CCGGCUUGGCGUGGUCUGCACUCCGCAUACUCGUCGGCUUGGUGUAGUUUAAUGGUCAGUACCAAAUGUGGAACUCCCUUGCUGCUGGCAACUACUGUUUGCUAUGGUGAAGAAGUGAAGAAUUGAAGAUCGAAACUUUUUUCACCAUACAGCUGCAUUAAGGUAGUUUUAUUUGAAGUUCUGAAAUAACCAGAUGACUGAAGUAAUGAAGCACCUUCAACAUGAUAGUAGUCUGGCAUUUGCAUGUGAUUGUAGUUAGUGGGAAUCUCUGAACGACCCUGAAUCUGUAUAAGGCAAAUAAUAAUCAGUAGCACUAAUAAGAGUCUCUUUUGCCAAGUGUGUGUAUAUCUUGAAUCUACUGACCUGCAUCAUGGUGUAUGGCAGUGAUGGUGUUACCACCUCUGCUUGUACUGGACACUUUGAUGUGUUUGAAUCACUCUUUUUCUUUUUA